rnacentral:rRNA from 1 species
UACGAAGGGGGCUAGCGUUGCUCGGAAUCACUGGGCGUAAAGCGCACGUAGGCGGAUUGUUAAGUCAGGGGUGAAAUCCUGGAGCUCAACUCCAGAACUGCCUUUGAUACUGGCGAUCUCGAGUCCGGGAGAGGUGAGUGGAACUGCGAGUGUAGAGGUGAAAUUCGUAGAUAUUCGCAAGAACACCAGUGCCGAAGGCGGCUCACUGGCCCGGUACUGACGCUGAGGUGCGAAAGCGUGGGGAGCAAACAGG